GGAAUAAAAGUCGUAACAAGGUCUCCGUAGGUGAACCUGCGGAGGGAUCAUUACAAGUGACCCCGGUCUAACCACCGGGAUGUUCAUAACCCUUUGUUGUCCGACUCUGUUGCCUCCGGGGCGACCCUGCCUUCGGGCGGGGGCUCCGGGUGGACACUUCAAACUCUUGCGUAACUUUGCAGUCUGAGUAAACUUAAUUAAUAAAUUAAAACUUUUAACAACGGAUCUCUUGGUUCUG
rnacentral:misc_RNA from 1 species